GACGAACGCUGGCGGCGUGCUUAACACAUGCAAGUCGAACGGAAAGGCCCUGCUUUUGUGGGGUGCUCGAGUGGCGAACGGGUGAGUAACACGUGAGUAACCUGCCCUUGACUUUGGGAUAACUUCAGGAAACUGGGGCUAAUACCGGAUAGGAGCUCCUGCUGCAUGGUGGGGGUUGGAAAGUUUCGGCGGUUGGGGAUGGACUCGCGGCUUAUCAGCUUGUUGGUGGGGUAGUGGCUUACCAAGGCUUUGACGGGUAGCCGGCCUGGGAGGGUGACCGGCCACAUGGGGACGGAGAGACGCCCCAGACGACAAUGGGAGGCAGCGGGGGGAAAUAUUGCCCAGGGGGAGGGAGCCGGAUGCGGAAACCCCGGGGGCGGGAAGACGGCCUUUGGGUUGAAAACCGCUUUCGCUUGUGACGAAGCGGGAGUGACGGUAAUGGGUAAAGAAGCAGCGGCUAACUACGU
rnacentral:rRNA from 1 species